GACGAACGCUGGCGGCGUGCCUACUACAUGCAAGUCGAACGCAGUGGGGACGGGUGAGUAACACGUGGGUAACCUCCCAUCAGAGGGGAUAACAUUUGGAAACAGGUGCUAAACCGAUACUGAUGGAUGGACUCGCGGUGCAUUAGCUAGUUGGUGGGGAAACGGCUCACCAAGGCCACGAUGCAUAGCCGACCUGAGAGGGUGACCGGCCACACUGGGACUGAGACACGGCCCAGACUCGUACGGUAGGCAGCAGUAGUGAAUCUUCGGCAAUGGACGAAAGUCUGACCGAGCAACGCCGCGUGAGUGAAGAAGGUUUUCGGAUCGUAAAACUCUGUUGUUAGAGAAGCGGUAUCUAACCAAAAAGCCACGGCUAACUACGGGCCAGCAGCCGCGGUAAUUC
rnacentral:rRNA from 1 species